AGUGAAUUUACUUCUUGGUUGUUCCUAAUUUAUCGAAAUUGAACCGACGUUUUCUGUUUUUAAAAUCAACCCUACAUGCCUUAAACUUACCUCAUAUCUUCUUUUAGAUCAAACUCAACCUUACACAUCACCCCAAACCAUUCGGCCGCCACCCUCCUUUUUGCGCCACAAUCCCUCACCCCCUACAGCUUCUGGUCGCCCAUACCCCUCCUCUGGUACACCCUCAUAGCCACCCUUGGUCACCAUUCUAAACACACCUCACCUCUAUUCACGUCCGCAAUGCACCAAGACUCGCCGGAGACACGAAGACGCCGCCGCCGGGCUCUUUGACUCGUUACGUUGCAAACGGAACGCCACCCGGAUCACGUGGAACUCACCGGAGCAUCCCGAAGUCAUCGGAAACUAACCCGGAACUCGCCUUAUCACCUAUAGUUGGAAAAUCGUUAUCGUUUAUUCGGUUUCCCAAUCUUUACUCGUGCGUUAUUGCAAGAAAUCUCCAUAUGCGACCACUGUUGAUGAUGACGAUGCUAUAAAAAGAAGUAGCGUUGAUGCCUAGAUACAC